AUACUUACCUGGCAGGGACGUUUUUAGCCAUUAUCACCAAGGUGGCUCUCUCAGGGCGUGGCAGGUUCGUUGCACUCAGAGCCUACUGACCUCUGCAAUUUCCACACAUGUGGGGAAACUCCACUGCACAGUUAUGUUAGUGGGGGACUGCGAGCGCACUUUCUCUUG